rnacentral:rRNA from 1 species
CAGAAACUUGAUUCGGGCUCGGCCCGAUCCUCCCACCCUUUGUGUACCUACCUCUGUUGCUUUGGCGGGCCGCGGUCCUCCGCGGCCGCCCCCCUCCCCGGGGGGGUGGCCAGCGCCCGCCAGAGGACCAUCAAACUCCAGUCAGUAAACGAUGCAGUCUGAAAAACAUUUAAUAAACUAAAACUUUCAACAACGGAUCUCUUGGUUCUGGCAUCGAUGAAGAACGCAGCGAAAUGCGAUAAGUAAUGUGAAUUGCAGAAUUCAGUGAAUCAUCGAAUCUUUGAACGCACAUUGCGCCCUUUGGUAUUCCGAAGGGCAUGCCUGUUCGAGCGUCAUUACAACCCUCAAGCUCUGCUUGGUAUUGGGCACCGUCCUUUGCGGGCGCGCCUCAAAGACCUCGGCGGUGGCGUCUUGCCUCAAGCGUAGUAGAACAUACAUCUCGCUUCGGAGCGCAGGGCGUCGCCCGCCGGACGAACCUUCUGAACUUUUCUCAAGGUUGACCUCGGAUCAGGUAGGGAUACCCGCUGAACUUAAGCAUAUCAUAAGGCCGGAGGAA